GGAAAUUCCUUUACCAGAACAUAUUAGUGAGGUUGACUUUCAGCUUUGGAUCUGGCGAUUGCGGUUAAAUUAAUUGUAAACAAAUGUGCGCAACAAAUGCGCAGAGAUCUGUUUCGGGAGAUGAUAUUUGUCGAAUUAUCGUUUGAAUUGCGUGUGCCACGCUGGCUAAUCCGGCCUACAACGAAGCGGCCAUCAUAACGUCAUGAGCAACUAUUCGAAUUACGCCCGGUUAAGCGGGAUACAAGACGAAAAGUAUGAUCUCGAGCAUAAAAGGGAGAGUUUCGACAAUGCCAUAGAUCGAUCUUUUUCUAAAGAUCUUCAAAUAUUGCAAUCCCAUGGCAGCCAUCAGCUGCCUCUGGAGUCAUCUGAAUAUACGGGAAGCCGAAAGAAACUGUUUGGAGAAGCUGAACGCUCCCGUGUUUUCAGGAAACGAAAAAAGACCAUGCGAUUACGGAAGCAAGCCUUCAGGAGAUUAGUUAGGAAGGAUUCAAGAGCGAUGGCCAAUACGAAGCGUUUACUGCAGUCAUUCGUAGCAGCAAAUCGUAAAGUGCUCGUGAUACGACUACCCAGGGAGCACUAUGCGAUGGAACAGACGACCUUAAUUAUGGUGGAAAUGCUCAAAUUAAUCAAGACUCGUACCUUGGCGUAUGAUUAUAUCCGAGAAGGGGUUGAAAACCUAUUCUACCUUCACGACCUAUUCAGCGUUCAGGAGCGACGAAUUCCGCGAAUACCAGCCUUCUUGGCAAAUCUGAUCUAUCAGCUUCUGACCAUGCUAGAGGAAAUCGCUCCAAUGCUUGAGUUAAUAGCGAAGCAGAGACCCACAGACUGGACCCAAGUGCGCGAACUUCUCAGGACAUAUCAGGAACACCAGGAGUCGUUUUUUGAUAUCAUGAACAUGGUGCCGCCCAUAGACUGUAUAGCUCCAACGCGACUUCUUGGCGUUGGCGGAUUUGGCUCUGUUUACAAAACUACUGUCUUCAGUGAAAAGAUCACCUGUACAGUCAAAUUGGUUCCACUCACGAAGUUCAAGAUGCCGAAGCACGCUUGUGCGGACAAGGUUGUAGCAUCGAUGACAAAUAAUCGAUUUCUUGUCAAGUAUUAUUCAACAUUCGCCACGAACGAGGCUUUCCUCACGAUAAUGGAAUACAUUCGAGGCAUCGAUCUGCAUCGUCUCGUGAAGGCUAACAGAGGGGUGUCUCACGAUAUUUGCCAGGUUCUACUAGCUCAGUUAGGCGAAGGUCUGCAGCACAUGCACCUACGCGGAUGUAUUCACCGAGAUAUCAAGCCUUCAAAUAUAAUGGUGAUGCCCGGCAGUCAAGUCAAGCUGAUCGACUUCGACACGGCUAAGAUCUGCAUUGGCAACUUCCUGCCUCGCUUAUCGAGAUUUUUUGGCGAACGUAGCGCGCGAGAAUUCACAGACCGGGAAACUGCUGGCACAGUUCCAUUCUUUGCGCCUGAGGUUCUCACUGGAGUUGGUUACGGACGCGCCUUGGACUGGUGGGCCUUAGGCAUUACAGCCUUCAAUUUAGCAUUUGGCAUGGUGCCAUACAAGGGUAACAAAAAAGACAAGGAAUUUAGAGAGAAGGUGGCUCACUCAAAUAUACCAUUUCCAAAGGGUGUCUUCAUUAGCAGUCAAUUUAAGUCGCUAAUUAGUCAGCUGCUUGAAAAGAAACCAGCAAAACGUAUGUGCUCACUGACCCUUGAAGAGUGGCAACGACAUUCGUUCUUCCAGGAUCUCAAUUGGGAUGAGCUAAGAGCGGGUAGCCUAAAGAUUGACCUACCAGCGAUUACCGACGAGAUGGAGUUAGAUAAAGAGACGGCAUUAUGGUCGCCUAAACCACCGAAAACAUAUGAUAAGGGAUUGCUGGAACUGGAAAAACAACAGGACAGCGAUAUACAGAGUCCACUGUACACAUACGCAUCAUCAGGAUUUCAACGCUGCCUUGAUAUUUACCGGGCAGGUCGAAUCGCCAUUGAAGAUGACAUUUUGGAUGCACCCUAUGAAGACGUGCUGCCUAGGUGUUCGAAGGAGUAUCGUUUUCAGAAAUUUGUCGAAAGAUAAAGCAAUUCAUACUGAUAUUUGGCAGCUUUAAGCCGUUCUAACAGCCAACGCCUCCAACGCCUAAUACCUAUUUUCUUUGGAAGCCAAGACGCUAUUGCUUGUGUGAAACGGAUUAGUAACUUGGACCCACGAAAAAGAGUGCUCUUUUUAGAGACAUUGUUCGUUAUGUACUUACACAUAGGUGGCAGAGUGUGUACCCGAAAACAAGCAACUGUAUUAAUUCUGAGGCUUUUAUAUUCGUCUGUUAGUUAAGGUGUAGUUGCACUAUGGCGGUAAAUGCGUGCCUGCGUUUGUGCAUAACUUUCGAUGUGCGUACGUUCGUCAAAAACGACUGUCUUACUGCUCCAAUAUGGAAAUGUAGCAUAGUCAAUGUAUUGAUGCUGGUAUAGUGUUAUGUUAUGAAGUGGUGUAUAAAGAUAUAUGGACAUACACGGAUAUAUGUAAAGGCUACUGAUUCUUUUCAUUUACGUUGUCUACGUUUAUUGUUAUUAACACCGCCAUGACGACUCACCAUUUGCAUUGUACGACGAGUGCUGCGGUAAAGGACAAUAAGAGCAGAAGUGUGGAGCAGAGGUAGAGGCUUCGAGUGCGUAGAAGUUGGGAUGCGUCCCAACGACAAGUUAGGAAGAAGUCUACUGUCGUCUGCUUAGCAGACAGUUUCAUGUAAGAAACUGGGAUACGGUUGAGCCUACACAAAAACAAAUAGCUUAAAGCGAAACAAAGUAACGUGUAACGAGUUCGUCUUCUCGGCACUAACGAUCAACCGUAUUCUACACAACAUAACAUUGUUUUAAGAAGCUGACCAGAGAUCCGUGAAUCAUGAUCAAGGAAUAAGUCGCUAGUGAUCUACAAAGGAGUACACCAGAAAGCAGCUAAACGCCGCCCUCGCUGCUGAUAAUUGUGCUUUA